rnacentral:rRNA from 1 species
UUGCGUCAGGUCAAAGUGCAGCUUAUGAAAGGGAGAUGAUGGGUUACAACCCAAAAAAAGAUACGAAUUAAAGCACUAAAAGCUUUAUAAAGGUGGACUUGAAUGUAAUAUUUAAAUAAAUUAAAUAUGAAAAUGAAUCUAAGGCAUGUACACAUCGCCCGUCACUCUCACCUUAAGGCGAGAUAAGUCGUAACAAAGUAGGUGUAACGGAAGUUGCACCUG